rnacentral:rRNA from 1 species
UACGUAGGGGGCAAGCGUUGUCCGGAUUUAUUGGGCGUAAAGAGCGUGUAGGCGGCCAAGCAGGUCCGCUGUGAAAACUCGAGGCUCAACCUCGAGACGUCGGUGGAAACCGUUUGGCUAGAGUCCGGAAGAGGAGAGUGGAAUUCCCGGUGUAGCGGUGAAAUGCGCAGAUAUCGGGAAGAACACCCGUGGCGAAGGCGGCUAUCUGGACGGUUUCUGACACUAAGACUCGAAAGCGUGGGGAGCAAACAGG